rnacentral:lncRNA from 1 species
UGCGUCGACGUUUCGACCUAAUUUGGUCUUCUUCAGGACUGGGCACAUGUAACAGCUAAGGCUGCUGGGCCCCAAUUCAUAGGGGUGGACCAGCCAGCAGCCAGAAAGAAAUGAAAAGCCCUACCAACUUGUCUCCCUUUUAUAUCCCCUCCGCCAAAAAUUAGACUGAAUUUACUUGUAUUUAAGUUAUUUUCUACUCUAUUUAGUUUUUGAAAUCUUAACCCUUUCUGCACCGCUUGUGCUUUAAAUCCAUAUUAAUUAUGUUUAUUCACAUAUUUGUGCUUUUAAUAAACAAAUUAAUAGGUAUUUUUGAUCCCAAUAUUAGGGUUAGGGUCCUGCUUGACCUUUGACCUCUGUGGCCUGCUUGGCCGUUGGUCAUUAAGUUGCCUCUAAUGGUUAGGGUUAGGGCGAGUCCCAGGUUAGGGUUAGAAUCCCAUACUAGGGUUAGGGUUAGGGUUAGGGUUAGGGUUAGGGGUUAGGGUUAGGGUUAGGGUUAGGGUUAGGGUUAGGGGUUAGGGUUAGGGUUAGGGUUAGGGGUUAGGGUUAGGGUUAGGUUUAGGGGAAUGAAUCCCGUCUCCCUCUAGGUUGACCCUGUGGGGAGCGGGGAAUGCACGGUCCUUCGCCCACUGGACACGCUCCCCCGGCCCCCAUGGAUCACUAAUUUGUGUUUAAGGUUUGUAUUUGAUUUGGUUUUAGUGUGUUGUGUUACAUGAUUGUUAUUUCAUUAAUCUCUUUUUUUCAGGUUUUUGAUUGUUUUUGGACACACAAACACACAAACAAACAAACAAAAGGUACAUGAUCGACACAUGAACUAUGUACAGGUGGUGUGCAUCGCGACGACGUUUCGACCCUGCUUGGGUCUUCAUCAGGUCUUAUGCACACAUAAAAUAAAUGGCUGCUGGGCCCCAAUUCAUAGGGGUUAUCCCAGCAAGCAGCCAAAAUAAAAUGAGAAUUUCCUGUCCCCUUUUCCCUUUUAUAUCCUUGGAGCAAUAAUUAGACUUAAUUUCUCGGAUAUUUUUGGUUAUUUUCAACUGUAUUUAGUUUGAGAAAAGUUAACCCUUUAACUGCUGUUUGGUUUUUAAUUAAAUGAUAUAUUUAUCCUUUACCUGUGUUUAGGCUUAGACUGACCUAGGGUUAGGGUUAGGGUCAGUGUUAGGGUUAGGGUUCAAAUCCGAGGCUAGGGUUAGGCUUAGGGUUAGGGCCAGGGUUAGGGUUAGGGUUAGGGGUUAGGGUUAGGGUUAGGGUUAGGGGUUAGGGGUUAGGGUUAGGGUUAGGGUUAGGGGUUAGGGUUAGGGUUAGGGUUAGGGUUAGGGGUUAGGGUUAGGGGUUAGGGUUAGGGUUAGGGUUAGGGGUUAGGUUUUUGGGUAAGUAUCCCGUCUCCCCUAAGUUGCCCUACUUGGGCGGCGGGGAGCGGGGAAUGCACGGUCCUUCGCCCACCGGACACGCUCCCCCGGUCCCACAGGAAACACGACUUGUGCUUAAUAAAUGUUGUUGUUGACUUGGUUUUAAUGUGUUGCGUUAUUGUUUUUAAAUAGUUUCCAUUUUUUUAGGAUUUUUUGUUUUUGUUUUUAAAUAAUUUCCAGUUUUUUAGGAUUUUUUUGUUUUUUAUAUACACAACACACAAACAAACAAACAAACAAACAAACAAUACAUGAUCACACAGGAACUAUGUACAUACAUUGUGCGCGUCGACGACGUUUCGACCCUACUUGGGUCUUCAUCAGGUCAUGCGCACAAAAAAGAAUGGCUGCUGGGCCCCAAUUCAUAGGGGUGUGUACCCAGCAGGCAGCCAAAUAAAAAUGAAGUUAUCCCUGUUCCCCUCUCCCUUUUAUACCCUUGGAGAAAUAAUUUACUGAAUUUUCUUAAAUAAUUUGUGUUAUUUUGUACUCUAUUUAGUUUCUGAAUGUUAACCCUUUAGACGCUGAUUGUUUUUUAAUGCAUGAUAUAUUUAUCUUAUGUUAACCCUUUAGACGCUGAUUGUUUUUUAAUACAUGAUAUAUUUAUCUUAAUGCUGAGGUUAGGCUUCAAGUGACCCCCUAGGGUUAGGGUUAGGGUCAGUAUUAGGGUCAGGGCUAGUAUCCGAGGUUAGGGUUAGAUCCUGAGGUUAGGCUUCAAGUGACCCCUAGGGUUAGGGUUAGGGUCAGUAUUAGGGUCAGGGCUAGUAUCCGAGGUUAGGGUUAGAUCCUGAGGUUAGGCUUCAAGUGACCCCUAGGGUUAGGGUUAGGGUCAGUAUUACGGUUAGGGUUAGUAUCCAAGGUAGGGUUAGGGUUAGGGUUAGGGCCACGAUUGGGGUUAUGGCAAGCGCUAAGGUUAGGGUUAGGGUUAGCGCGAUGGUUAGGGCUAGGGUUAAGUGAGGUUAGGGUUAGGGUUAGGGUUAGGGUUAGGGUUAGGGGUUAGGGUUAGGGUUAGGGUUAGGGUUAGGGUUAGGGUUAGGGUUAGGGUUAGGGUUAGGGUUAGGGUUAGGGUUAGGGUUAGGGUUAGGGUUAGGGUUAGGGUUAGGGUUAGGGUUAGGGUUAGGGUUAGGGUUAGGGUUAGGGUUAGGGUUAGGGUUAGGGUUAGGGUUAGGGUUAGGGUUAGGGUUAGGGUUAGGGUUAGGGUUAGGGUUAGGGUUAGGGUUAGGGGUUAGGGUUAGGGUUAGGGUUAGGGUUAGGG